UAAAACAUAACACUACAACAAAAACUCAUUUCCAUAACACAAAAAUUUAACACUUUUAAAAAAGUAUUAUAAUAUAUAUAAGUGUAUAUGUAUAUAGGCGGGACUUAUUGCAAUUUGGCGCCUAAUUUUCCCCAGCCCCCCAAAAUUUUUCACACGGUCCCAAUUGACCAAAAAAAAGAAGAAGAAAAAAACCCAUUUUCACACGGUCCCAAUCGGUCCCCGAUUCCUCUCUCUCUCUCUCUUGUUUCUCUGUGUUUACCCCCUCUCUCUCUCUCUUCGUUUCUCGACCAAUCGGCCCAAGAGGAGGACGAUUAAGCUUACCCAGGAUCUGUUGUCAUGCCACCUCAAGUACACAAUCAAGGGAAAUCACUUAUAAUGCCAUUGUCAUCUAAUCAGGGCCAAACUCGACAACAACUACUAUCUCAGAAUGUUCAGAAUUUUGCUGUAGUUAUAUCAACCACAGAGACCUUCUCUAGAGACAUCAUCAACAUCUGUCGAUUCAGCUGCAACUGGACAUGCGAGUGGAGUUUAUUGGCAAGAAGAGGUUUACCAGAAGGUAAUA